CCAUUCGCUGAAUUUCAGGAUGUACGAAAAUGAAUUACUCUAAAUGAUCUUCAAUGUCAAAAAAAGAGAUAGUUAAGCAUACGAGGAAUACAUCACUAAAUAUCUCUACUAUUAAAGGGGAUUGAACGUCGUGAUGGUUCGACCUCUUUCGAUGGUUCAACCUCCUUCGAUACCCCCACCAACCCUCAUCCCCAUGUACGAUCCCUUCCUCGCUAGAAAAAAACAGCCGCAAAUCACCCGGCCCCGCUCACAAAGCAGUGGGAAAAAAAGAAAUAACCGCAACCCACGAACACACGUCGCUAAUCCGGUACCCCAUCCCCAUCCCCCUCGCUCCCGAUCCCAUCUCUCCCCUGAGAAAACUCACCGCCGCCUGUGCUCGCCAAUCGCCACCUACCCCACACACCUCUACCCGCAGCCGCUACCCUCCUCUUCCGCCGCAUUGUCGCGUGGCCGCGGAAAACGCCCGUCUCUGUCGCUCGCCCUCGUCUCGGUCGCUUUCGCGCCGCCUUUACACCCGUCUCCGUCUCGCCGCCCACAUCUCGGUCGCCGUCGCGCCACCUCUAUAUCCGACGCUCGUCUCCGUCUCGGUCAUGUAGCUUUCGCGCCGCCUUUGUACCCGUCUCCGUCUCGCCGCCCUGAUCUCAGUCGCCAUGGCGCCGCCUCUAUGUCCGACGCUAUCUACCUUGCCUCUUCCCGGUCGCCGCCGUGCCGCCUCUCUACAGCAGCCGAGCGGGAAGGAGCGCGCGCGUGCGGGCGGGGGCUGGAGACUGAUCUGCUGUGUAUGCCAGCGGGAAGCACGGGAGGUGUGUGCCGUGCGGGCGGGUCCCUAUGGAGAAUGGCCUCGAGGCGGUGGACUGAACGACAGGAGUGAGCGGCUGGAGAGGCAGGGGACCAGCGAGUUGAAGCGAGCGGAAGGUAGCGGGACGACCAUGUAGCUUUGGGAUGUUGUUGCAAGAAAGCUGGCAAGCAGCGGCGUCCUACAUGGUUUAAGAUUGAAACGUAAGCUUGUAGAUGCUUGAGCAUGGGAGGCAGCAUGGAUUUCUCUAUAAGGGUGUCAGACACCACCUUGAGGUGAGCACACACAUUUACCAGCAUUCUUAUCUUCACCGUGGGACCAAUUCUGAUGCAUGCCAAUAGUAGAGAAAGGUGGGAUCAUGAGAGAAUGGAGUGGGUAAGCAUGUUGUGUGGUGAAGAGUUCGUGACUCCUUGCACUCAUGAGAGAAAGGAGUGGGUAAGCAUAACGUGUACUUACUAAAGAGUCUGUGUCUCCAUGGGGGUAUAUGGACAAAGUGUGUGCAUAUUCCUUGUAGAUUUUCCAAUGAAUUUUUCCAAGAUAUUUUGCACAAGGCUACUGAAUGCGAACAUUCAUGAUUUAAAGUUUUAUCUGGCUACUUUGAGAUGCUCGGUGCCCUGUUUUCAGAUAGCAUAGCAGUUCAGAGGCAGGAAACUAGCCAUAGCCAUGUACUCAGAUAGCAUAGUGCUUCGGAGGUAGAUAACUCCAAGAUAAGGCUAGGUAGUAUUUUUCUUUUGGGUGGGAGAAGGCUAGGUAGUGGUAGCUUUAAUAGUAGAGAUUAGUAUCUUAAUCCAUUGCACAGUGUCAGGUUAUUUGUUUCUUGAUGACAUAGAGGAUGGAUGUAUAAUUGAGGUAUCACAAUAUUUAUGGUGAUCACAAAUGUCUCUUGUAACACAGUGCAUUGUAUAUGAUUAUGUCAUCUGAUCUGUUUUCUCUUGA